UACGUAGGUGACAAGCGUUAUCCGGAUUUAUUGGGCGUAAAGGGCUCGUAGGCGGAUCCGCCAGUCUGACGUGAAAUCUCCACCGCUCACCGGGGAGGGGCCGUUGGAUACUACGGAUCUGGAGUUCGGCAGAGGACCAUGGAAUUUCGGGUGUAGCGGUGGAAUGCGUAGAUAUCCGAAAGAACACCGGUGGCGAAGGCGGUGGUCUGGGCCUGAACUGACGCUGAGGAGCGAAAGCCAGGGGAGCAAAGCGGG
rnacentral:rRNA from 1 species